UUUACGUUCACAAUGCCCAGGUAUCGCUUAUGUGAACCACAGUAGAUGAGAACAUAAAAUUUGCUGGCUACAUAGCUGAUAAACUAAACAAGUCAUCAUCAAAGGUCUGUGUUUGCCUUCCAGAAAAGGGUGUUUCAGCAUUGGAUGCAUCAGAGAAGCCCUUCUAUGAUCCUCAGGCUACCAGUACACUUUUAAAUGAACUAAAGAGACUUAUUAAGAUAAAUGAAGAUCGCCAGGUAAAGAUGUAUCCUUACCAUAUAAAUUACCCUGCGUUUGCGAAUGCCUUGGUCGACUCAUUUAUGGAGAUUUGCUCGAAGAAUACUACAGACUCUAGUCUUCCCCAGGUUGCCUCUCUUGUGUCCAGCCAUGACCUUCAAAAGGAUC